rnacentral:rRNA from 1 species
UGGGGAAUAUUGCACAAUGGGCGAAAGCCUGAUGCAGCAACGCCGCGUGAGCGAUGAAGGCCUUCGGGUCGUAAAGCUCUGUCCUCAAGGAAGAUAAUGACGGUACUUGAGGAGGAAGCCCCGGCCUAACUACGUGCC